GAUGAACGCUGGCGGCGUGCCUAAUACAUGCAAGUCGAGCGAAUGGAUUAAGAGCUUGCUCUUAUGAAGUUAGCGGCGGACGGGUGAGUAACACGUGGGUAACCUGCCCAUAAGACUGGGAUAACUCCGGGAAACCGGGGCUAAUACCGGAUAAUAUUUUGAACUGCAUGGUUCAAAAUUGAAAGUCGGCUUCGGCUGACACUUAUGGAUGGACCCGCGUCGCAUUAGCUAGUUGGUGAGGUAACGGCUCACCAAGGCAACGAUGCUGAGCCGACCUGAGAGGGUGAUCGGCCACACUGGGACUGAGACACGGCCCAGACUCCUACGGGAGGCAGCAGUAGGGAAUCUUCCGCAAUGGACGAAAGUCUGACGGAGCAACGCCGCGUGAGUGAUGAAGGCUUUCGGGUCGUAAAACUCUGUUGUUAGGGAAGAACAAGUGCUAGUUGAAUAAGCUGGCACCUUGACGGUACCUAACCAGAAAGCCACGGCUAACUACGUGCCAGCAGCCGCGGUAA
rnacentral:rRNA from 1 species